AGUUAGACGUGAUGUCAGAUGCUUCAAGUCCCUCUGGUGAAUUUUUAAACCUCAUAAAAAGCUCUUCCCAUCCUGGGCUCGGGCUUCUUCUAUCCAGACUUCUUUUGCAUCAGGGAUCCCGGCUGCUCAAGGGACUUCUUUCCAGCACUUCUGACUUUUCUGCUUCCUCAGCUGUUGUCACUAUGGAUGAACGUAUUCCUGAACCUCCUUUGACUUCCUAUGAUCGAUAUCGUGCUUCCAGACAACAGAUGCCAUACUAUAGAUAUUACUCUAAACCACUCGGUCCUCCUCUAUCUCCCUUUGUCAAGAAAAGGCUGCCCAAAUAUGGGUCGCAAUACAUCCCAUUCUAUGGGCCACGGUAUUUUUCAUCCAGGACUCUUCCACUGUAUGAGAAAGGUCUUUUUUCUUCCAAGACCCUUCCGUUGUAUCAGAGAGGCCUUUAUAUUCCACCGUAUCAUCAAUCUGGAGGGGCUGGUUAUCAACCACGGGGUCUAAACCCCCGCCCAGAAUCACAUGGAACCAAACUCCCUCAAAGAAAUCUUGCCAGAAACCCAACACAGCCACAUGUAAACAUAUAUCAGCGGCAUUUGCUCCAAAGUCCAUAUAGCGGCAUGACCAAAGACCGCCAUGGAACCAUCACAAAGGGUUCAGUUCCCGGUGCACCUCGAGCUCCGUUGCCUCGCAUGACCAAAGGCCCGGUAUUAUAUUCUCCCAAAGAUUUGGAGCCACACUUGCCCAAAGCCCCUCUACCUCGCGUGACCAAAGGCCCAGUACUGUAUUCCCCCAGGGAUUUGGAACCCCAUCUCCCCAAAAGCCCACCACCCCAUAUUCCCAAAAGCCCAACAAAGCAUUCAGCCAAGAGAAUACCGCCAGUUGUGCCCACUGACUCACAACUCAAUGUAACAAAGGCUCAGCAGCAUCACACAUCAAAGAGCAUGCUGUCACGUGCCACCAAAGGCUCGCGUACAAUUGCGAGCAAAGUCCCGCGAUUCAACCUACUGAACUUCUCUAGAUCCUUACGGAAAAAAGCUUCUCGACGCAAUCGUGCGAAAACCUCCCAACCCAGUUUGGUGAAGGGUUCACAACCCUCUCUAGUCAGGGACUCUCGGGGUUCCUUAGCAAAGAGCUCUCAACCCAACCUGGUCCAUACGGCCACAUGCCCAGAUCUCAAAAAACUCUCCAGUAAUGUGAAAGUCUCCAAGACAGGGAAGAAAUAUUGCUCAGCAGCCAAGUGGCCUUUCUGA
rnacentral:lncRNA from 1 species